rnacentral:rRNA from 1 species
GGAGUCUGGGCCGUGUCUCAGUCCCAAUGUGGCCGUUCAACCUCUCAGUCCGGCUACUGAUCGUCGACUUGGUGGGCCGUUACCUCACCAACUAUCUAAUCAGACGCGAGCCCAUCUUUCAGCGAUAAAUCUUUGGUCAUCAGACGAUGCCAUCCGUUGACGUUAUGCGGUAUUAGCAGUCGUUUCCAACUGUUGUCCCCCUCUGAAAGGCAGGUUGCUCACGUGUUACUCACCCGUCCGCCACUAACUUUGAGAGCAAGCUCUCAAAGUCCGUUCGACUUGCAUGUGUUAGGCGCGCCGCCAGCGUUCGUCCUGAGCCAUGAUCAAACUACU